rfam:Dictyocaulus viviparus strain HannoverDv2000 D_viviparus-1.0_Cont207.19, whole genome shotgun sequence.
GCCUCUGUAGUGUAAUGGGUCAGCACGGCAGACCGGACAUCUGUAAGUGCGGGUUCGAGUCCCACCUGAGGUC